rnacentral:rRNA from 1 species
AGAUACCAGCUGGCUGCAACUGUUUAUUAAAAACACAGCACUGUGCAAACACGAAAGUGGACGUAUACGGUGUGACGCCUGCCCGGUGCUGGAAGGUUAAUUGAUGGGGUUAUCCGUAAGGAGAAGCUCUUGAUCGAAGCCCCAGUAAACGGCGGCCGUAACUAUAACGGUCCUAAGGUAGCGAAAUUCCUUGUCGGGUAAGUUCCGACCUGCACGAAUGGCGUAAUGAUGGCCAGGCUGUCUCCACCCGAGACUCAGUGAAAUUGAACUCGCUGUGAAGAUGCAGUGUACCCGCGGCAAGACGGAAAGACCCCGUGAACCUUUACUAUAGCUUGACACUGAACAUUGAGCCUUGAUGUGUAGGAUAGGUGGGAGGCUUUGAAGCGUGGACGCCAGUCUGCGUGGAGCCAACCUUGAAAUACCACCCUUUAAUGUUUGAUGUUCUAACGUUGCCCCGUUAUCCGGGGUGCGGACAGUGUCUGGUGGGUAGUUUGACUGGGGCGGUCUCCUCCCAAAGAGUAACGGAGGAGCACGAAGGUUGGCUAAGCAUGGUCGGACAUCAUGCGGUUAGUGCAAAGGCAUAAGCCAGCUUGACUGCGAGAGUGACGGCUCGAGCAGGUACGAAAGUAGGUCUUAGUGAUCCGGUGGUUCUGAAUGGAAGGGCCAUCGCUCAACGGAUAAAAGGUACUCCGGGGAUAACAGGCUGAUACCGCCCAAGAGUUCAUAUCGACGGCGGUGUUUGGCACCUCGAUGUCGGCUCAUCACAUCCUGGGGCUGAAGUAGGUCCCAAGGGUACGGCUGUUCGCCGUUUAAAGUGGUACGCGAGCUGGGUUUAGAACGUCGUGAGACAGUUCGGUCCCUAUCUGCCGUGGGCGUUGGAAGAUUGAAAGGGGCUGCUCCUAGUACGAGAGGACCGGAGUGGACGCACCACUGGUGUUCGGGUUGUCAUGCCAAUGGCAUUGCCCGGUAGCUAAGUGCGGAAGAGAUAACCGCUGAAAGCAUCUAAGCGGGAAACUUGCCUUGAGAUGAGUCUUCCCUGACCCUUAAAGGGUCCUAAAGGAACGUUUAAGACUAAGACGUUGAUAGGUUGGGUGUGUAAGCGUAGCGAUACGUUGAGCUAACCAAUACUAAUGACCCGUGAGGCUUAACCUG